AGGACGAACGCUGGCGGCGUGCUUAACACAUGCAAGUGGAGCGACGAACCAGGGCUUGCCCUGGGGCAGAGCCGCGAACGGGUGAGUAACACGUGGGUUACCUGCCUCGAUGACCGGGACAACCCGAGGAAACUCGGGCUAAUACCGGAUGUGCCCGCAAGGGGAAAGGAAGCUUCGGCCUCCGCAUCGAGAUGGGCCCGCGGCCCAUUAGCUUGUUGGUGAGGUAACGGCUCACCAAGGCUUCGAUGGGUAGCUGGUCUGAGAGGACGAUCAGCCACACUGGGACUGAGACACGGCCCAGACUCCUACGGGAGGCAGCAGUGGGGAAUAUUGCGCAAUGGGCGAAAGCCUGACGCAGCGACGCCGCGUGGGGAUGAAGGCCUUCGGGUUGUAACCCCUUUCAGCAGGACGAAGCGAAAGUGACGGUACCUGCAGAAGAAGCGCCGGCUAACUACGUGCCAGCAGCCGC
rnacentral:rRNA from 1 species